UUUGUAAAUCUAUUUGUGUUUUUGACUCGUGAUAAAAUGGAGUUAUUUCAAACACAUAAACUAUACUUUAGAUACGAGUAAAGGAAAAUUGUAAGCAAGCGUUCAAUAUACAUGUACAACAAUGCACCGACUCAAGUUACCAUCAGGCAUUUUUAUCCGACAUCAACACAUACAUGUAGGUUUCCUAACGUCACAAUGGAUUUAUUAUAAUUAAUUAUCAAAAAAUGUAAUAGUUAUCAUUACAAAAUAUCGUUUGAUAGAUUUAAAUAAACC
rnacentral:lncRNA from 1 species